rnacentral:lncRNA from 1 species
GUAUCUAUACUAUUAAAGCUGAAGUACACAAUGAAUUUACACUAUAGUUUCAAAAUGAAAUAAUUAUCAUUUCUAACUGGGUUAACACGCGGAUCUAACUAACUAAACGGAUAUGUUAAUCGGGUUUAGAGAUUUAAUCUCCAUCGUUCAUUUUUCAGUUGAUAAAAAAAAAUUGGUUUUCAAUAUUAAAGGAAAGAUAAUUAUUACGUUUGAUAUUUAACUUUAUUUGUAAGAUACAAUGCCUAAAAUUUAGCUUACUUGGCAAGAUUUUCUUAAUUUCAAAUAUUUUAUAAAGAUCUUGAUCGAAAUUUUAAAUCUAUACUAUUAAAGCUGAAGUACACAAUGAAUUUACACUAUAGUUUCAAAAUGAAAUAAUUAUCAUUUCUAACUGGGUUAACACGCGAAUCUCAGGUUUAGAGAUUUAAUCUCCAUCGUUCAUUUUUCAGUUGAUAAAAAAAAAAAUUGGUUUUCAAUAUUAAAGGAAAGAUAAUUAUUACGUUUGAUAUUUAACUUUAUUUGUAAGAUACAAUGCCUAAAAU